rnacentral:lncRNA from 1 species
AUGCACAGAGCAAAUUACAUAAGUGUUUGGAGUUCAUCUCAACAUUACAAAACACUUGGGUUAUUGGUUUUUUGGGUGAAUGAAUGCAACAGAGGAAAGUAGAAUGGAGAGCUAACUGGCGCCAUAGGACAACAUAACAGGUAUUCUGCUGACUGGAGCUCAGAGAAAAAGGUGCCAGGAAAUUCUAAAUUUUGGAAAACUUUUGGAAAUAUUUGAGAUGGGACGGAAUCACUGAAUAAAUGAUUGGAGUACAAAAGCAUGACCUCAGAAUGCUAGAACAUUUGAAUAUCACCAGGGUAAAUAUUAAACAUAAGUUGGCAACAAUGAUGAUAUUAGUGAUGAUAAUACCCCAAAAGAAAAACAAACAAACAACAACAACAAAAAGAUUGGUUUGGAAUCUUGCAAGAAUGUAUUCUGUAGCUUUUCUUUUUCAUCAAAGCUGGAAAUACUUUGCAGGGAUCCAGUCUCCUGUACCUGGAUCUUAUUGCUUCUUCUUGAAGAUUUUCCUCCAUUAGUUUCUUAUUUUUAUCAAAGGUUUUUCUCACUGCCAAUUUCCUUUUCUUUUUAUUCUUUUUACCCUCCCUAUUCAAGUUCCAGAUUACCAAAUGCUGACACAUUAGCAGCUAUUCUUAAAAAUCCACAUUCAGGGCAUCAACCACUGAAAGAAAGUAUUGGGGCAGAUGGGGUGGUCACACAUAGCAAGGUGCUCAAGUCCAGAGAACAGCUGGCAAUGCAUUUGGUGAAAUCUUAUCAGUUCAGUUGAGAUCAGGUUCAAAACAUGAGUUGUUUUAGACCCUGAAUGUUUAUUACUUCUCAGCUCUUCAGCAUACACAGACUUCUUAGCUCAUUUAACUUCUUCUGUCAGGACCUCCUUUCCCAUUCCCAUGGACUAUCUGUGGGUUCAUUCCAUCUUUGCAUGGAAUACUUUCAGUAUUUCUCUUAGAAUUUUUUUUUUCAUUCCAAAACCUUUAGCACAUAAUGAAAUUUUUUAAAAAAUUGACCAUUAAGAAAGUACAAGAAAACAUGUCAGACAUUGCUAUCAGAUACCUGGCAAACAUAUUCAUACAUAUAGGCAAGCUCUAUUGUUGCCCUUGUCAAACUGGCUUAUAAUUAUUCAUCUGUGUAUGAUUCUUUCUUAUACAUCCCAAUCCCAAUGCCAUAAGAUACUUGAGAGUAAGGAAUGGGUCUUACUUGAUCUAUAUGUUUAACCUCGGAUUAGAAAUCAAGACAUACUUUAAGCUAGCAAAGAAUGAAACCAGACACUGACUGGGGGUUUUGGAUUAUGAAAUCUGGAAUUCUGUUCUCAGAUAACAGUUGUCUGUUUAUGAGCCUUUUGCCUGGAAAGGAAGAUGCAGAUAGCAGAGAACACCAAUGCCCUCAUAAUUUGGCCAGGUGGUGGCUUGGGAGAGUAUCUUUCACUAUACAUGAUGAUAAAAAUGGAUAUUUUGGGGUGGAGUAUUAUCCAUAUCAAGGAUUAUAUUUUGAUUUACUGAUCCCUGGUAAUUUUCUUUUCCUUCCAACCAUUUAUUUUGUCACUUGAAAGCAAG